UUAUAUAGUUUAAAUAAAACAUUACAUUUUCACUGUAAAAUUAAAUAUAUUAUAUUUUUUAAAU
rnacentral:tRNA from 11 species